rnacentral:sRNA from 1 species
CGAUCGCCUGCUGGGGGGCGAUGAAAUGGAUAUGGGCGUCAAUACCGCCGGCGGUCAGGAUCCGUCCCUCGCCGGCGAUGAUCUCGGUGCCGGGGCCGAUGACGAUGUCGACGCCGGGCUGGAUGUCGGGAUUGCCGGCCUUGCCGAUCGCGGCGAUGCGGCCGCUGCGCAGGGCGACAUCCGCCUUGAUGAUGCCGGUAUGGUCCAGAAUCAGGGCGUUGGUGAUGACGGUGUCGGCAGCACCAUCGGCGCGGGUGCGCUGUGACUGGCCCAUGCCGUCCCGGAUCA